rnacentral:lncRNA from 1 species
AAGUGCCCCCACCGAAGAGGGCUUUCUGCCACUGGACACCCAAUGAGGCCGGACCCUGGAGGUACCAGAGGAAACCCAGGGCACAGAAAACACUGAGAGGUACUGACCUCACUCAGAAGGUCAUGGUGGACUUCCUGGAGGAAGAAGGUGAUUAAUAAAAGGAGAACCACGUGAGGAGAAACCGGCCUUUUACUCGCCUAGCACUCCCACAGGGUGACUGCAUGGCUCCCACGACCAGUUCCUGGCAGGCCCGCCCCCAGGCACAGGUGCCAAUCCUCACCCUUAAUAACCACUGCGAACCAAAGAUGGCACCCUUUCCCACUCUGCAAAGAACGGACGCCACUCCAACUGUGGCGUUUCAGGCUCUUCUCCCGGGAAUGCUUCCAUUACACUGAAAGGACUGCCACCCCACCUCCCUUCUCCCAGGAGGGCACUUGGACACCACCGAUAGGCGCAGGCAGGCGAGCGCGCCGCGGCUCCGGGGCGGGGGCGAGGGUCCCCAUGCGCAGGCGGGCGGCGCGGCGUGCAGGGAGGCCGGCGCUCGGCAGAGGGCGCCGGGGAGCCGCGGGGGUCAGCCCGCGUGCCGCGCGGCGGGCGCGGUGCCCUCAGGCGCCGAGCACGUGGACGCGCCGUGAGGGAGCAGCUUCUGAGGCCCGGCCCCGGCGUCGUGCGCGUCCGCUGUGGCCGUGGCCGUGGCCCUCGCGGCGUCUAGGGGUCACUCUAACCCCCCGCCCUCAGGCCGUGCCGGGCGCCGACACCCUCCCUGGGCUCCCACUAAGUCUGAGCUUCCAGACGAGGCCCGAAGGGGACAGUGGUGAGCGGACUGGGCGGCCCCUGGAUGAAGUGGGCCCGGAACCCAAAAGCUCCAGCUGUCACUUGAUCAUCGUGGACUUCCCUGGUCUCCUCACCUUCAACUGGAGCGUCCGAGACCAGCCAGCUGUACCUCCUUCAUUCUGUUCUGCGGAGAGGGACCGGAUGGACUCAGCUUGCCUCUGGCUGUGCACACCCUGGCUCUGGGCGGCUAGCAUCUGGGUGCACCGGCCUUGGGCCAGGGGGACCUUCAGGACCAAUCAUGAGGAGCCUCACGAUGGAGAAAGAGUUGAGAGCCCUGAGCCCACUUUAUGGAUGCUUGGAAGAGAAGGGAGAGCCUGCAAGACUAGAAGCAAGUGUGUUGAUACUGGCCCUCACGGGGCUCCUGAGCACUUAAGUGUUUGGCUUCAAGAGUGA